rnacentral:rRNA from 1 species
CCGCGGUAAUAUUGCGCAAUGGGGGAAACCCUGACGCAGCGACGCCGCGUGGGUGAUGAAGGCCUUCGGGUCGUAAAGCCCUGUCGGAAGGAACGAAUGGUCCUGGAGUGAAUAAUUUCAGGAUUUGACGGUACCUUCAAAGGAAGCACCGGCUAACUCCGUG